GAUGAACGCUGGCGGCGUGCUUAACACAUGCAAGUCGAACGGAAAGGCUCCUGCUUGCCGGGGUACUCGAGUGGCGAACGGGUGAGUAACACGUGGGUGAUCUGCCCUGCACUUCGGGAUAAGCCUGGGAAACUGGGUCUAAUACCGGAUAGGACGAUGGUUUGGAUGCGAUUGUGGAAAGUUUUUCGGUGUGGGAUGAGCUCGCGGCGUAUCCGCUUGUUGGUGGGGUAAUGGCCUACCAAGGCGACGACGGGUAGCCGGCCUGAGAGGGGGUACGGCCACAAUGGAACGGAGACACGGUCCAGAGUCCUGCGGGAGGCAGCAGUAGGGAACCUUCCGCAAUGGGCGGAAGCCUGCCGGAGCAAGGCCGCGUGAGUGAUGAAGGUCUUCGGAUCGGAAAACUCUGUUAGUAGGGAAGAACAAAUGUGUAAGUAACUAUGCACGUCUUGACGGUACCUAAUCAGAAAGCCACGGCUAACUACGUG
rnacentral:rRNA from 1 species